GCGAUCGAUUAUUGCUCAGUUGGCAGAGCAUAAGACUCUUAAUCUCACAGUCAUGGGUUCAACCCCCAUGUUAGGCA